rnacentral:rRNA from 1 species
GGCAGCGCGGGGGCAACCCUGGCGGCGAGCGGCGAACGGGUGAGUAAUACAUCGGAACGUGUCCAGUAGCGGGGGAUAACCUGUCGAAAGAUAGGCUAAUACCGCAUACGAUCUACGGAUGAAAGCGGGGGACCGCAAGGCCUCGCACUGUUGGAGCGGCCGAUGUCGGAUUAGCUAGUUGGCGGGGUAAAAGCCCACCAAGGCGACGAUCCGUAGCUGGUCUGAGAGGACGACCAGCCACACUGGAACUGAGACACGGUCCAGACUCCUACGGGAGGCAGCAGUGGGGAAUUUUGGACAAUGGGGGCAACCCUGAUCCAGCCAUGCCGCGUGAGUGAAGAAGGCCUUCGGGUUGUAAAGCUCUUUCGGCGGGGACGAAACGAUUCGUGACAACACCACGAACUAAUGACGGUACUCGCAGAAGAAGCACCGGCUAACUACGUGCCAGCAGCCGCGGUAAUACGUAGGGUGCAGGCGUUAAUCAGAAUUACUGGGCGUAAAGCGUGCGCAGGCGGCUCCUUAAGUCAGAUGUGAAAUCCCCGGGCUUAACCUGGGAACUGCGUUUGAAACUGAGGGGCUAGAGUGUGGAAGAGGGGGGUGGAAUUCCAGGUGUAGCAGUGAAAUGCGUAGAGAUCUGGAGGAACACCGAUGGCGAAGGCAGCCCCCUGGGCUAACACUGACGCUCAUGCACGAAAGCGUGGGGAGCAAACAGGAUUAGAUACCCUGGUAGUCCACGCCCU